AUGAACGCUGGCGGCGUGCCUAAUACAUGCAAGUCGAGCGAACGGACGAGAAGCUUGCUUUUCUGAUGUUAGCGGCGGACGGGUGAGUAACACGUGGAUAACCUACCUAUAAGACUGGGAUAACUUCGGGAAACCGGAGCUAAUACCGGAUAAUAUUUUGAACCGCAUGGUUCAAAAGUGAAAGACGGUCUUGCUGUCACUUAUAGAUGGAUCCGCGCUGCAUUAGCUAGUUGGUAAGGUAACGGCUUACCAAGGCAACGAUGCAUAGCCGACCUGAGAGGGUGAUCGGCCACACUGGAACUGAGACACGGUCCAGACUCCUACGGGAGGCAGCAGUAGGGAAUCUUCCGCAAUGGGCGGAAGCCUGACGGAGCAACGCCGCGUGAGUGAUGAAGGUCUUCGGAUCGUAAAACUCUGUUAUUAGGGAAGAACAUAUGUGUAAGUAACUGUGCACAUCUUGACGGUACCUAAUCAGAAAGCCACGGCUAACUACGUG
rnacentral:rRNA from 1 species